GCCAAUUCAAGGGAACAUUGGUGGCUGGUUUAAAAAUUGCUAUGGGCUUUGUGACCUUGGGCUGGGUGUGCCAAAUUAAGCCCAAACAGUAACCCGAGCAGUUUGUAAGCCAUGUUUGAACAUGGUGUACAUAGGUCUCUCUUGAGCUCCCUACUGUCCUCCCAUAUAUGGGAUAGUUAGGGAUUAACCCAACUAGUUGGUCCAUAAUUUGUUUCAUCAUCUUGAGCUCCAUAACUAGUUCCCCUAUAAUCAGACAUACAUAACCAUAGCCAUUAUAAGAUUC
rnacentral:lncRNA from 1 species